rnacentral:rRNA from 1 species
UACGAAGGGGGCUAGCGUUGCUCGGAAUUACUGGGCGUAAAGGGCGCGUAGGCGGACAUUUAAGUUAGAGGUGAAAGCCCAGGGCUCAACCCUGGAAUAGCCUUUAAUACUGGAUGUCUUGAGUUCGGGAGAGGUGAGUGGAACUCCGAGUGUAGAGGUGAAAUUCGUAGAUAUUCGGAAGAACACCAGUGGCGAAGGCGACUCACUGGCCGAUACUGACGCUGAGGCGCGAAAGCGUGGGGAGCAAACAGG